UACGUAGGGUGCAAGCGUUAAGCGGAAUUACUGGGCGUAAAGCGUGCGCAGGCGGUCCGCUAAGACAGAUGUGAAAUCCCCGGGCUUAACCUGGGAACUGCAUUUGUGACUGGCGGGCUAGAGUAUGGCAGAGGGGGGUAGAAUUCCACGUGUAGCAGUGAAAUGCGUAGAGAUGUGGAGGAAUACCGAUGGCGAAGGCAGCCCCCUGGGCCAAUACUGACGCUCAUGCACGAAAGCGUGGGGAGCAAACAGG
rnacentral:rRNA from 1 species